rnacentral:tRNA from 1 species
GGUUGUGGCUCAGUGGUGGAGUGCUUGUCUAGCAUGCAUGAGGCACUGGGUUUGAUCCCUGGCACCA